rnacentral:rRNA from 1 species
GACGAACGCUGGCGGCGUGCUUAACACAUGCAAGUCGAACGAAGAGCGAUGGAAGCUUGCUUCUAUCAAUCUUAGUGGCGAACGGGUGAGUAACGCGUAAUCAACCUGCCCUUCAGAGGGGGACAACAGUUGGAAACGACUGCUAAUACCGCAUACGAUCUAACCUCGGCAUCGAGGAUGGAUGAAAGGUGGCCUCUAUUUAUAAGCUAUCACUGAAGGAGGGGAUUGCGUCUGAUUAGCUAGUUGGAGGGGUAACGGCCCACCAAGGCGAUGAUCAGUAGCCGGUCUGAGAGGAUGAACGGCCACAUUGGGACUGAGACACGGCCCAGACUCCUACGGGAGGCAGCAGUGGGGAAUCUUCCGCAAUGGACGAAAGUCUGACGGAGCAACGCCGCGUGAGUGAUGACGGCCUUCGGGUUGUAAAGCUCGGUUAAUCGGGACGAAAGGCCUUCUUGCGAAUAGUUAGAAGGAUUGACGGUACCGGAAUAGAAAGCCACGGCUAACUACGUG